UUCGAGGCAAUCACGUAAUGGU
rnacentral:siRNA from 1 species